rnacentral:lncRNA from 1 species
UGGGUUAGAAAAAGAGUCAAAGAAGGAUAAAGAAUUGUAUGGCUAAGUCUUAAUUUAGUCACUCGUUAGAAGGAUGAAAUGGAGACUGACCUUGAUCAAAAGGAAAAAUAACUCAACAAGAAAGACAAGAUGAUUCAAAUUGAAAGAAAGAAACAACAACGAAUAGGAGACGAUUUGAGGGACACUAGCAGUAGCCUCAAUACUAAGAAUCGAGAGUUGGAAGAAGCAUAUCCUCAUAUUCAGAAGUUGG